GACGAACGCUGGCGGCGUGCUUAACACAUGCAAGUAGAACGCUGAAGGCGGAGUUUGCUUCUCUGGAUGAGUUGCGAACGGGUGAGUAACGCGUAGGUAACCUGCCUUGUAGCUGGGGAUAACUAUUGGAAACGAUAGCUAAUACCGCAUAAGAGCACAUGCUGCAUGAUAUUUGCUUAAAAGGUGCAACUGUACCACUUCCAGAUGGACCUGCGUUGUAUUAGCUAGUUGGUGAGGUAACGGCUCACCAAGGCAACGAUACAUAGUCGACAUGUGACGGUGAUCAGCCGCACUGGGACUGAGACACGGCACAGACGCCUACGGGAGGCAGCAAGAGGGAAUCUUCGGGAAGGGACGGAAGUCUGACCGAGAAACGCCGCGUGAGUAAAGAAGGAUUUCGGAUCGUAGAGCUCUGUUGUAGGAGAAGAACGAGUGUGAGAGUGGAAAGAUCACACUGUGACGGUAACUUACCAGAAAGCGACGGCUAACUACGUG
rnacentral:rRNA from 1 species